ensembl:rRNA 5S_rRNA 5S ribosomal RNA
GUCUACGGCCAUGCUACCCUGAAUGCACCCAAUCUCGGAAGCUAAGCAGGGCCAGGCCUGGUUAGUACUUAGAAGGGAGACCACCUGGGAAUACCUGGUGCUAUAGGCA